rnacentral:pre_miRNA from 1 species
AGGAGGAACAGCCCCAGUGGCGGGGCAGCUCUGGAAACCUGGAUUCAGCCCCCGCAGUAGCUCCGGAGCUCUCCGUCUGCAGGGCCUGGAGGCUCGGGCCGGG